UACCAGCACCCCGAGUUGUCGGGACGAUUAUUGGGCCUAAAGCAUCCGUAGCCGGUUCUACAAGUCUUCCGUUAAAUCCACCUGCUUAACAGUUGGGCUGCGGGGGAUACUACAGCGCUAGGAGGCGGGAGAGGCAAGCGGUACUCAAUGGGUAGGGGUAAAAUCCGCUGAUCCAUUGAAGACCACCAGUGGCGAAGGCGGCUUGCCAGAACGCGCUCGACGGUGAGGGAUGAAAGCUGGGGGAGCAAACCGG
rnacentral:rRNA from 1 species